rnacentral:rRNA from 1 species
CAGCAGCCGCGGUAAUACGUAGGUGGCAAGCGUUGUCCGGAAUUAUUGGGCGUAAAGGGCUCGCAGGCGGUUUCUUAAGUCUGAUGUGAAAGCCCCCGGCUCAACCGGGGAGGGUCAUUGGAAACUGGAAAACUUGAGUGCAGAAGAGGAAGGUGGAAUUCCAUGUGUAGCGGUGAAAUGCGCAGAGAUAUGGAGGAACACCAGUGGCGAAGGCGACUUUCUGGUCUGUAACUGACGCUGAUGUGCGAAAGCGUGGGGAUCAAACAGGAUUAGAUACCCCCGUAGUCCCUGUCUCUUAUAC